UUAUUCACUUUUGUAAAUAUUAAUAUAUGCAUCUUUAUCAUGUUGUUAAAUUGUCGUCUUAUGCCCAUUCGCGGUAUGUGCAGUGAUAAACCCAGUGUGGUGAACAGCUGUCACUGCUGGAACAUGCUUAAUCAUUGCAAAUGGAAAGAAAAGGUUUCUGCAUUAACAGGAAUCGAACUAGUUGAAUGAUGUUUCUGCUACCAUCAUACCCUUUUCUAUCAACCCAUGCAGAAUACAACGGGAAUGGACAGUUCAUGAGGUUUAGGCAGGGUGAAGUGGCAGAGAGUGGUAGAUGAAACACAGGAGAAAAAGAAGUGCAAGAAAGAAAAGAAGGAGGACAGCAACAGAAAGAGGAAUCGUGACGAAUGAUAUAUUCUAGUGUUAAGAUGUCACUGUGAUCAUCUCAGCUCCAUAUUUGUUAUUCAUGGUUCCUUGUUAUGUUCCAUAAUUUUAUGUAAUAUUCACACACACACACACAAUCCCUAUUUCUUCCAUUUCUGUCAGUCUUCAUUUUCAACGUUUCUUAUUUCUGUUGCUUGUUAUAUACCUGAUGCCAUGUUUUCUGUGUCUUCUACAUUUGUGCCUGUCUAGAGCAGUCCAGUUCCUUAUUUUAUUUUGCUGUUUUAAACUGAUGUUGAAGAAGUCUGCUCUACAGUAGGCCUGUUACCGUUUAUAAUUCUAUUGUAUUGACUACAUAUCUCCAUAUAAUCCCAUCUUUCAAUCUGUAAAGUACUAAAUGGAAAGAUGCCAUAACAUUCUUCUCUAAUAAUAUAAAUUAAAACUGAUGGUUUUAUAUGGAAUCAGUAGCAAGCCUUAAUAGAGAGUGACUAUAUAUCCAACUUUUUUAAGGGUGAUAAAAAUCCAUAGCACAACUUCCUUCGGAGGGGAAAUAAUGCCAGUGGUCCCAUGUCGUAGAUUUACCUUACAAGCAUGAACGAGAUGUUUCAUGAGCACUGUGGCAUUAUCGACAUCCCAAAAUCUGACUACCCAGAAAGAUGAAAAAAUUAAUUUCUAAGAUACAAGCACACUUAGGACAGUUCCCACUUUCCUACAUCAGGUUUAUGGCCCUGACAAAAGUAGGAGUAACCUACAACAAAACAUGGUGGACUCUGAAUCAAUUUAUAGAGGGCUUGAUAUAAUAUUUCCCAUACAAAUAUUUUUCUUUGUUGAGGGUGGAACUAGAAAAUUCACAAUGCAUGUCUUUGGUCUCAAACUUCAAUCCAUUAGCAUGAGAAGCCAGUAUAUAUAUAUAUGUCACCAGGUCCACCCUUAUGUCAAAGCAUACUAUUUCACUGUAUUUACUUAUAUCCUCGCAUAUUUUUUUGUACAUCCAUGCUCUCUGACAGAGUCAAAACUUUGUGACUGUGGAAUUCCAGGAUCUGACCAUGUUUAGGGGUCUGCAUAAAGCUGCAGAUCCCUCUGCCAGUCAUCAUCUAAAUUUUCACUCUAUUAUUAAAUUUAACAAAACACUGCCAAAUGGUCACUUCUAACAUAGACCUCACAAGUGAAUUCCGACAUUCUUGUCAGCUGAGGGCAAAGGACAGAAAAGUUAAAAGACAGUUAACCAUCGCCAUCCAUGUAUCAGGAUUAAGCACUAUUCAUCUGACUGUGCGUCACACAGUGCUACCACACCACUGAAUCAUUAAUACCAGAAUUAAAGUCUGAGAGGCAGCCCUAGUAUGAUGAAGGUUAACUGGCGACAUUUGAAACAAGAUUAGAAAAGUGUAUACUAUAGAGUACAAAAACAUUCCAUACGAUUUCUGAUGGGUGUGUUAUAAAAUAGUUGAAAAGCUACUGAUAGAUUUUAGCAACAUGGAUAGUUCAUAUAGCCAGUGAUAAAUACCAGCAAGAUAAACUGAUUGACAUGAUACAGGUGUCUAGGGAUAGUUCACAUGACCACUGAUAGAUGGCAGCAUUAGCAGUUCAAAAUAAUGAUGACAGAUGACAGCACCUUUACUUCACACAGCAAUAGAAAAUCUGUCAGCUGUUUUCAAGUUGUUUUUCAGAAAGGAUAGUCAAAUGAUCUCUGAUGGAUGUGCAACAUGAUCUUGGCUGAGAGAUGUAACAGGCAGGCAGACACAAUGUGCCCAUAAGCAUAGGAAUCAAGCCAGCCAAGACCGACAAGAACUAUGACAGAUUCUGAAAAGUGAAAUCUUUCUUUGAUAUGGUCAGUGACACCUAUGAUAAAAUUUACAUUCCAUCUGAACAUUUAGCUGUAGGUGAAGUAAUUGUGCUGUUCAAAGGGAGUUGUUUUCAAGCAAGUCAGUCCUAAGGAACAAAAUGUUUUUAUAUAAAGGUCUACAAAUGUUGUGAUACGACAUGGAGAUCAACUGGAAAAUUCAAUACAGAUAACAAGAGUGACAUAUUUGGAAGUGAAAAUUGUCACUAGGAGAGUGGAAGUGGUUGGCCAUAAAUUUUACACAGACAAUUCUUUCUCCUCCCUGGAUGUAUCUGAUGACCUCAGCACAACAGUUUUUAACAAAAAUGGAAAUGUUAGAUAAAACUGUAAAGAAUUCCAGGGGACUGACUAUGACAGUAAGACACUAAGAUUGAAAAUGUCUAACAUACAUGAUAAGUUGAGAGGUGUCUUGAGAAUAAUGAUUUGCAAUGACAGGUGAAAUGUGUGUAUACUGACAGACGUCCAUAAACCACCAGCAGAAGGCAACUUCUAUGAAUGCAUGACAGCUCCUUUUACUCUGUCAAUGAAUUUAUGUUGUUUACAAAUAAGUGAUAAAUUUUCUUCCGUGUGUAAUGGAUAGAUCUAUUUGUAACUUAUCAUUUCUCUAGGUGAACCCUUUGUUUGUA